rnacentral:rRNA from 1 species
UACAGGGGGUGCAAACGUUGCUCGGAAUCAUUGGGCGUAAAGCGCACGUAGGCGGUUCGUUAUGUCGGAUGUGAAAGCCCUUGGCUUAACCGAGGAAGUGCAUCCGAAACUGGCGAGCUAGAGUACUAAAGAGGAUCGCGGAAUUCCCAGUGUAGAGGUGAAAUUCGUAGAUAUCGGGAGGAACACCGGUGGCGAAGGCGGCGAUCUGGGUAGAUACUGACGCUGAGGUGCGAAAGCGUGGGGAGCAAACAGG